UUGAAUUUUUGGUUUUUUUGGUUUUUUGUUUUUUUUUGGUUUUUUUUUUUCAUAAUCAAUAAUCAUUUGGUGGACGGAUGGGAUGGAUGGAUGG
rnacentral:ribozyme from 13 species